rnacentral:rRNA from 1 species
CCUACGGGAGGCAGCAGUGGGGAAUAUUGGACAAUGGGCGAAAGCCUGAUCCAGCAAUGCCGCGUGAGUGAUGAAGGCCUUCGGGUCGUAAAGCUCUUUUACCAGGGAUGAUAAUGACAGUACCUGGAGAAUAAGCUCCGGCUAACUCCGUGCCAGCAGCCGCGGUAAUACGGAGGGAGCUAGCGUUGUUCGGAAUUACUGGGCGUAAAGAGUACGUAGGCGGUUAUUCAAGUCAGAGGUGAAAGCCCGGGGCUCAACCCCGGAACUGCCUUUGAAACUAGAUAACUAGAGUCUUGGAGAGGUUAGUGGAAUUCCGAGUGUAGAGGUGAAAUUCGUAGAUAUUCGGAAGAACACCAGUGGCGAAGGCGACUAACUGGACAAGUACUGACGCUGAGGUACGAAAGCGUGGGGAGCAAACAGGAUUAGAUACCCUGGUAGUCCACGCCGUAAACGAUGAUAACUAGUUGUUCGGUCACUUGGUGACUGAGUGACGCAGCUAACGCAUUAAGUUAUCCGCCUGGGGAGUACGGUCGCAAAGUAAUUAAAACUACAAUGAAUUGACGGNNGAGACGCGACGACGACGACGACGAGGAGAG